GCUGUGAUCGUAUAGUGGUUAGUACUUCAUGUUGUGGCCGUGACAACCUAGUUCGAAUCCUGGUCACAGCA
rnacentral:tRNA from 1 species